AUCCUCUGCCCGAGAAAUUUUUAUAUCAGCAAGGAAGCUGCCGAUUCAUGUUGGCCUUGUCCGGAAGGUACGGGGACUACGAAAGAAGGAGCUAGUUCUGUGGAUUCUUGUGUUGAUUUAGGUAAUAACGAUUUUAGAGGUGGAAUUGGACACAUUUACAAAUGGUAUAUUAUAGGAAUACUGAUGAUCUUCUUUCUAUUAAUUUCUUGGAUAAUCAUUAUCUACCUUUUGAUAAGAUACAGUUGCCUCGAUUAUUUAAGAAGAUGUUUUGGAAG